AGGAUAGUAGUUAAAAAUAACAUUUAAUUUGCAAUUAAAAGGAGCUUAGUCAGCCUAUCUUA
rnacentral:tRNA from 1 species